rnacentral:misc_RNA from 1 species
UACCACAAGCGUUACUGGAU